rnacentral:rRNA from 2 species
CUCGAAUGGCGGCAUGCUAUACAUGCAAGUCGAGCGAAUCAAUGGGAGCUUGCUCCCUGAGAUUAGCGGCGGACGGGUGAGUAACACGUGGGUAACCUGCCUGUAAGAUUGGGAUAACUCCGGGAAACCGGAGCUAAUACCGGAUAACAUUUUGAACCGCAUGGUUCAAAAUUGAAAGAUGGCUUCUAGCUAUCACUUACAGAUGGACCCGCGGCGCAUUAGCUAGUUGGUGAGGUAACGGCUCACCAAGGCAACGAUGCGUAGCCAACCUGAGAGGGUGAUCGGCCACACUGGGACUGAAACACGGCCCAAACUCCUACGGGAGGCAGCAGUAGGGAAUCUUCCGCAAUGGACGAAAGUCUGACGGAGCACCGCCGCGUGAACGAUGAAGGCCUUCGGGUCGUAAAGUUCUGUUGUUAGGGAAGAACAAGUACCAAAGUAACUGCUGGUACCUUGACGGUACCUAACCAGAAAGCCACGGCUAACUACGUGCCAGCAGCCGCGGUAAUACGUAGGUGGCAAGCGUUGUCCGGAAUUAUUGGGCGUAAAGCGUACGCAGGCGGUUUCUUAAGUCUGAUGUGAAAGCCCACGGCUCACCCGUGGAGGGUCAUUGGAAACUGGGGAACUUGAGUACAGAAGAGGAGAGUGGAAUUCCACGUGUAGCGGUGAAAUGCGUAGAGAUGUGGAGGAACACCAGUGGCGAAGGCGACUCUCUGGUCUGUAACUGACGCUGAGGUACGAAAGCGUGGGGAGCGAACAGAAUAAGAUACCCUGGUAGUCCACGCCGUAAACGAUGAGUGCUAAGUGUUAGAGGGUUUCCGCCCUUUAGUGCUGCAGCAAACGCAUACUCAAAGGAUUUGACGGGGGUC